rnacentral:rRNA from 1 species
CCUACGGGAGGCAGCAGUGGGGAAUAUUGGGCAAUGGGCGCAAGCCUGACCCAGCAACGCCGCGUGAAGGAAGAAGGCUUUCGGGUUGUAAACUUCUUUUAAGAGGGAAGAGCAGAAGACGGUACCUCUUGAAUAAGCCACGGCUAACUACGGGCCAGCAGCCGCGGUAAUACGUAGGUGGCAAGCGUUGUCCGGAUUUACUGGGGGUAAAGGGCGUGCAGCGGGGAAGACAAGUCAGAUGUGAAAUCCCGCGGCUCAACCGCGGAACUGCAUUUGAAACUGUUUUUCUUGAGUACCGGAGAGGUCAUCGGAAUUCCUUGUGUAGCGGUGAAAUGCGUAGAUAUAAGGAAGAACACCAGUGGCGAAGGCGGAUGACUGGACGGCAACUGACGGUGAGGCGCGAAAGCGUGGGGAGCAAACAGGAUUAGAUACCCCUGUAGUC